rnacentral:lncRNA from 1 species
GGAUGUCCCAGUGGCGUCCUGCUACUUAUAGUAGUAGCACAACUCUAGAUCUCAUCAGCAAUGACUUUUCCAACAUUAACAUCCAACUGCCUCAGCAUGCAGUAGAUGAAUAUAAUCCUAUGCAUCGUGAUGUCAGAGACAUGAGAGCACAACUGAACAUUGGCAUGCGUUAAUGUCAUCCAAUACCUCGCCAGGGGUGUCAAGUCUGCCCUCCUUAUGUUGACAGGCACUCCAUUAGGGUUGUUCUGAAAGUUCCUUCCAGGGAGGCACAUAACUCUCACAAUAUCUUUAAUAUCUCUGAACCCCCCU